rnacentral:rRNA from 1 species
UACGUAGGGUCCGAGCGUUGUCCGGAGUUACUGGGCGUAAAGCGCGCGCAGGCGGCUCGGCAAGUAUGGUGUGAAAGCCCCCGGCCUAACCGGGGAGAGGCGUCGUGGACUGCCGGGCUUGAGGGCGGUAGGGGUUGGUGGAAUUCCCGGUGUAGUGGUGAAAUGCGUAGAGAUCGGGAGGAACACCCGUGGCGAAGGCGGCCAACUGGGCCGACCCUGACGCUGAGGCGCGAAGGCGUGGGGAGCGAACGGG